GACGAACGCUGGCGGCGUGCUUAACACAUGCAAGUCGAACGGAAAGGCCCUGCUUUUGUGGGGUGCUCGAGUGGCGAACGGGUGAGUAACACGUGAGAAACCUGCCCUUGACUUUGGGAUAACUUCAGGAAACUGGGGCUAAUACCGGAUAGGAGCUCCUGCUGCAUGGUGGGGGUUGGAAAGUUUCGGCGGUUGGGGAUGGACUCGCGGCUUAUCAGCUUGUUGGUGGGGUAGUGGCUUACCAAGGCUUUGACGGGUAGCCGGCCUGAGAGGGUGACCGGCCACAUUGGGACUGAGAUACGGCCCAGACUCCUAUGGGAGGCAGCAGUGGGGAAUAUUGCACAAUGGGCGGAAGCCUGAUGCAGCAACGCCGCGUGCGGGAUGACGGCCUUCGGGUUGUAAACCGCUUUCGCCUGUGACGAAGCGUGAGUGACGGUAAUGGGUAAAGAAGCACCGGCUAACUACGUG
rnacentral:rRNA from 1 species